GAAAGGGUGAUAGAGUGAUUAUAUGGUUGUUUUGAAAUCAGCUUAUGUGGGUUAGAUUCCUACCCCUUUUG
rnacentral:tRNA from 1 species